CGUGCCUACGGGGGGCAGCAGUGGGGAAUAUUGGGCAAUGGGCGCAAGCCUACCCAGCAAUACCGCGUGAGUGAAGAAGGUCUUCGGAUUGUAAAGCUCUUUGAUCAGGGACGAACAGAUGACGGUACCUGAAGAACAAGCCCCGGCUAACUACGUGCCAGCAGCCGCGGUAAAACGUAGGGGGCGAGCGUUGUCCGGAUUUACUGGGUGUAAAGGGAGCGUAGACGGCCAGACAAGUCUGAAGUGAAAAUCCAGCGCUUAACGUUGGAAGUGCUUUGGAAACUGCCGGGCUGGAGUGCAGGAGG
rnacentral:rRNA from 1 species